AGCGAACGCUGGCGGCAGGCCUAACACAUGCAAGUCGAACGAUCCUUCGGGAUAGUGGCGGACGGUUGAGUAACACGUGGGAACGUACCUUUAGGUUCGGGAUAACUCAGGGAAACUUGAGCUAAUACCGGAUGUGCCCUUCGGGGGAAAGAUUUAUCGCCUUUAGAGCGGCCCGCGUUAGAUUAGCUAGUUGGUGAGGUAAGGGCUCACCAAGGCUCCGGUCUAUAGCUGGUCUGAGAGGAUGAUCAGCCACACUGGGACUGGGACACGGCCCAGACUCCUACGGGAGGCAGCAGUGGGGGAUGUUGCGCAAUGGGCGAAAGCUCGACGCAGCCAUGCCGCGUGAAUGAUGAAGGUCUUAGGAUUAUAAAAUUCUUUUAGCAGGGACGAUAAUGACGGUACCUGCAGAAAAAGCCCCGGCUAACUUCGUGCCAGCCGCCGCCGUAA
rnacentral:rRNA from 1 species